rnacentral:rRNA from 1 species
GGAAGUAAAAGUCGUAACAAGGUUUCCGUAGGUGAACCUGCGGAAGGAUCAUUACUGAUUUAGCGAACCGAGCGUUAGCGAGGUUUUGCGAUCAACUUGUAUUUAAAACCCACUCUUCAAUGUAUAAAAUUUGUAUUAAUGAUAAAUUAAAAGAUCACUUUCAACAACGGAUCUCUUGGCUCUCGCAUCGAUGAAGAACGUAGCGAAGUGCGAUAAGUAAUGUGAAUUGCAGUAUUCCGUGAAUCAUCGAACCUUUGAACGCAUAUUGCACUUUCUGGUAUUCCGGAAAGUAUGCCUGUUUGAGGGUCAGUUAAAUAAAAAUCGGCGUUGUUGCCGCUUUCCGUGGUGACGCGUCGGAAUUGAGUCGUCUUCGGUUAAGUGACUUAAAAUUUUAUAUGAUUUUCGAACGUAUUUAAAUUUAUUUGAACGUUUGAUAUCGAAUGCUUAUUAGGUUCGGUCAUCCUCAUGACUCGCGCCUAUAAUUUUUCAUUAAAUGACCUCAAAUCAGGUAAGAAUACCCGCUGAACUUAAGCAUAUCAAUAAGCGGAGGA